rnacentral:rRNA from 1 species
AAUAUUCCUGUACUUGGUGUUACUGCGAAGGGGGGACGGAGAAGGCUAUGUUGGCCGGGCGACGGUUGUCCCGGUUUAAGCGUGUAGGCUGGUUUUCCAGGCAAAUCCGGAAAAUCAAGGCUGAGGCGUGAUGACGAGGCACUACGGUGCUGAAGCGACAAAUGCCCUGCUUCCAGGAAAAGCCUCUAAGCAUCAGGUAACAUCAAAUCGUACCCCAAACCGACACAGGUGGUCAGGUAGAGAAUACCAAGGCGCUUGAGAGAACUCGGGUGAAGGAACUAGGCAAAAUGGUGCCGUAACUUCGGGAGAAGGCACGCUGAUAUGUAGGUGAAGCGACUUGCUCGUGGAGCUGAAAUCAGUCGAAGAUACCAGCUGGCUGCAACUGUUUAUUAAAAACACAGCACUGUGCAAACACGAAAGUGGACGUAUACGGUGUGACGCCUGCCCGGUGCCGGAAGGUUAAUUGAUGGGGUUAGCGGUAACGCGAAGCUCUUGAUCGAAGCCCCGGUAAACGGCGGCCGUAACUAUAACGGUCCUAAGGUAGCGAAAUUCCUUGUCGGGUAAGUUCCGACCUGCACGAAUGGCGUAAUGAUGGCCAGGCUGUCUCCACCCGAGACUCAGUGAAAUUGAACUCGCUGUGAAGAUGCAGUGUACCCGCGGCAAGACGGAAAGACCCCGUGAACCUUUACUAUAGCUUGACACUGAACAUUGAGCCUUGAUGUGUAGGAUAGGUGGGAGGCUUUGAAGUGUGGACGCCAGUCUGCAUGGAGCCGACCUUGAAAUACCACCCUUUAAUGUUUGAUGUUCUAACGUGGGCCCCUUACCGGGGUUGCGGACAGUGUCUGGUGGGUAGUUUGACUGGGGCGGUCUCCUCCUAAAGAGUAACGGAGGAGCACGAAGGUUGGCUAAUCCUGGUCGGACAUCAGGAGGUUAGUGCAAUGGCAUAAGCCAGCUUGACUGCGAGCGUGACGGCGCGAGCAGGUGCGAAAGCAGGUCAUAGUGAUCCGGUGGUUCUGAAUGGAAGGGCCAUCGCUCAACGGAUAAAAGGUACUCCGGGGAUAACAGGCUGAUACCGCCCAAGAGUUCAUAUCGACGGCGGUGUUUGGCACCUCGAUGUCGGCUCAUCACAUCCUGGGGCUGAAGUAGGUCCCAAGGGUAUGGCUGUUCGCCAUUUAAAGUGGUACGCGAGCUGGGUUUAGAACGUCGUGAGACAGUUCGGUCCCUAUCUGCCGUGGGCGCUGGAGAACUGAGGGGGGCUGCUCCUAGUACGAGAGGACCGGAGUGGACGCAUCACUGGUGUUCGGGUUGUCAUGCCAAUGGCACUGCCCGGUAGCUAAAUGCGGAAGAGAUAAGUGCUGAAAGCAUCUAAGCACGAAACUUGCCCCGAGAUGAGUUCUCCCUGACUCCUUGAGAGUCCUGAAGGAACGUUGAAGACGACGACGUUGAUAGGCCGGGUGUGUAAGCGCAGCGAUGCGUUGAGCUAACCGGUACUAAUGAACCGUGAGGCUUAACCUUACAACGCCGAAG